GCCAGACCUGACUGCUAUCGGAUUGAUACUAAGCCAUGCUAGUCUUUGUAGUAAUACAAGGCAUACGGCUCAGUAACGCGUAGUCAACCUACCCUAUGGACGGGGAUAAUCUCGGGAAACUGAGCAUAAUACCCGGCAGACCACUUAUCCUGGAAUGGUUAGUGGUUAAAAUGAUUCGUCGCCAUAGGAUGGGACUGCGGCCUAUCAGCUUGUUGGUGAGGUAAUGGCCCACCAAGGCGAUUACAGGUACGGGCUCUGAGAGGAGAGGCCCGGAGAUGGGUACUGAGACAAGGACCCAGGCCCUAUGGGGCGCAGCAGGCGAGAAAACUUUGCAAUGUGCGAAAGCACGACAAGGUUAAUCCGAGUGAUUUCUGCUAAAGGAAUCUUUUGUUAGUUCUAAAAAUACUAGUGAAUAAGGGGUGGGCAAGUUCUGGUGUCAGCCGCCGCGGUAAAACCAGCACCUCAAGUGGUCAGGAGGAUUAUUGGGCCUAAAGCAUCCGUAGCCUGUUCUAUAAGUUUGCGGUUAAAUCUAUACGCUCAACGUAUAGGCUGCCGUAAAUACUGUAGAACUAGGGAGUGGGAGAGGUAGACGGUACUCGAUAGGAAGGGGUAAAAUCCUUUGAUCUAUUGAUGACCACCUGUGGCGAAGGCGGUCUACCAGAACACGUUCGACGGUGAGGGAUGAAAGCUGGGGGAGCAAACCGGAUUAGAUACCCGGGUAGUCCCAGCUGUAAACGAUGCAGACUCGAUGAUGCAAUGGCAUAGAGCUAUUGCAGUAUCGCAGGGAAGCCGUUAAGUCUGCCGCCUGGGAAGUACGUACGCAAGUAUGAAACUUAAAGGAAUUGGCGGGGGAGCACCACAAGGGGUGAAGCCUGCGGUUCAAUUGGAUUCAACGCCGGAA
rnacentral:rRNA from 1 species